GUUUUCCAGUCCAGGCACAGAUACAUGCACUCCCACACAUCUGACUCUCAUUCCAGGCUGUAGUGCUUUAUCUGAGGCCUGCAGCUCUGAGGAUGUCCGACCAGCUCAGCGGGACUGUGAUUCAGCCCCAAAGCAUCUGACACUUGUUGAGGUAGCGUCAUCACCCGCAGUUGGCGCUGCGGGGACCUCAGGGGUUUCAGCUCUCUUUUCAGUUGUGAAGGGAGCUCAGCAUUGUUUCAGCUACCGACAUUGUUUCACAUUUUCACCUUUGUCUUCUCAAAGGAAAAGGCUACAGACUGCGCGAAGGCUGAGAUGCAGCUCUCCAGACCAUGCUUUAUAUCCUGAGAGGAAAGGCUGUGCGGGUUUUGCAAACCUGUCUCUGUCCUGCCAAGUUCAAACUGUCUUUGCAGUAGCGCAAGCAGAGUGAUGGGAAAGCAGAGAGCAUCAGAAACUGCCACAGGCUUUAGAAACCACAGUGCAGGAAAACAAAACUGUAGUGCAUUCUUCCCAGGGUAACAUCAGUAACUUUAUUAAGGGCUUCCCACAUAAUGGCGUUUAUUUCUCUCUCCAGCACACCCUAUAACCCACGUUGGGAAAAACAAGUUGCUAACCCCAAGUCCAUGCUGAGGAGGCAAUGGGCUGCACUAUCUGUGAGAUGUACCUACUGCUGCUUCCACUCUAAGGCAAACGUAGCUGAAACCCCACAGAACCAGCUCCAGAAGAAUCUGCACUGGUGUGGUUUGUGCAGGUUUUCAAAUCAGAAGGAGUCAGCAUGAGGUACAGUCUCCCUGUAAACUGGAUCUCAUCUGCCCUCCUCUGAAUUCACUUCUUGUGACUCAGAUCAGGUGAGUGUGAGUGUGACAGCUACUGCUGGGAUCCCUAAUUUCUGUUUUAAAUGACACCCUGCCAUAGACUGCAUGUUAAAUGCAUGAUCACAGUUGGAUUAAGGAUUUUUGCCUCUGAAAUAUAUUGGGGGAAAAAAAAAAAAUAUUAUCUGUUUGGGGCCAUCCCCAAUGUCUUUACAAUUUUGUUUGAUACAUACCAGGCCUUAGGAUUUACCCCAUAAUUACAGCAUUAAAUCAAUAUUUUUUAGUGAA